UUCAUGGUCACUGCUGUCUCCUGCAUUUCUCCUUUCACUCUCUUCGUAUCGGAUCUCACUCCAGACGUGGAAGACAGCAUGUUGUACGAGUUCUUUCAUUAUCAUUUCUCAUCCUGCUGCAGUGGGACUAUCAUUCUGGACAGCAGUGGAUACUCAAACGGUGACCUGACAACUGGCUUCCUGUGUUCAGCUCUUCAAUUGCAUACAUUUCCCUCUGUAAAUGCUGACUCUGCUGGUUGUAGGUGCUGCGGGUUUGUGAGUUUUGAGAGUGAGAGAGAUCAGAGACGAGCUUUGGCAGACCGACAGGGUGCUUCUGGACUUGGGAAGAAACCUUUACUCCUCAGUCUGGCAACAAUCAAACUACCCAGACUGUGAGAUAAAUGUGCCAGAGGCCAAUGAGAGAUUUAUGGACCAGAGUGAAGAACUGUACAGUGCUCUGAUUGGAUGCGUCUUCCAGCCUCCAGAGUCAUGGCACGGGGUCACCUGUAGUGUUACGUGUAACCUGCCAGAGCCGAUUUAUCAGUAUGAGAAGAUGAAUUGCAAAGCGCCAGUUAUUAAAAAAGUUCAUUGUUAAGAUUCAUUAAAUAUAGAAAAAUUAUUUGACUUUUUUCUUCUUUAAAGAAUGCAGCUUAAGCAGUGAUGUAUAUCAGUUAUUUGUCUUGUUUCUAGAAGUGGAUAAAUUCAGUGAUUCUGUUUUCCAAUAAUUCUCUUUGUCAGUAUUUUGCUUGUGUUCUUUUUAUGGGAUACUUACAGUAAACAAUCAGUAAAUUUAAGUUAAAAAAAGUUUCAGUUUAAAUAAAUAUGACUUUUUUCUCAAUUUUCUAUCUAUCUGUCUGUCUGUUCAUCCGUCCGUCCGUCCGUCCGUCUGUCCAUCAGUCUAUAAUCUAUCUAUCUUUCUGUCUGUCUGUCUGUCCGUCUGUCCUUCCGUCAAUCCAUCAAUCCAUCCAUCCAUCCAUCUAUCAUCUAUCUGUCUGUCUGUCUGUCUAUCUAGCUAGCUAUCUAUCCGUCCGUCCGUCCGUCCGUCCGUCUGUCCAUCAGUCUAUCAUCUAUUUAUCUUUCUGUCUGCCUGUCUGUCCGUCCGUCCUUCCGUCAAUCCAUCCAUCCAUCCAUCCAUCUAUCUAUCUAUCUAUCUAUCUAUCUAUCUGUCUGUCCAUCCAUCCAUCCAUCCAUCCAUCCAUCUAUCUUCUAUCUGUCUGUCUGUCUGUCUGUCUGUCUGUCUGUCUAUCUAUCUAUCUGUCUGUCUGUCUGUCUGUCUGUCCGUCCGUCCGUCCGUCCGUCUGUCCGUCCGUCUGUCCAUCAGUCUAUCAUCUAUCUAUCUUUCUGUCUGUCUGUCCGUCCGUCCUUCCGUCAAUCCAUCCAUCCAUCUAUCUAUCUGUCUGUCUGUCUGUCUGUCUGUCUGUCUGUCCGUCCGUCUGUCCAUCAGUCUAUCGUCUAUCUAUCUUUCUGUCUGUCUGUCUGUCCAUCCGUCCGUCCUUCUGUCAAUACAUCCAUCCAUCCAUCCAUCUAUCUAUCUAUCUAUCUAUCUAUCUAUCUAUAUAUCUGUCUGUCUGUCUGUCCGUCCGUCCGUCCGUCCGUCCGUCCGUCCGUCCGUCCGUCCGUCCGUCCGUCCGUCCGUCCGUCCGUCUGUCUGUCUGUCCGUCUGUCCAUCAGUAUAUCAUCUAUCUAUCUUUCUGUCUGUCUGUCUGUCCGUCCGUCCUUCCGUCAAUCCAUCCAUCCAUCUAUCUGUCUAUCUAUCUGUCUGUCUGUCUGUCUGUCUGUCCGUCCGUCUGUCCAUCAGUCUAUCAUCUAUCUAUCUUUCUGUCUGUCUGUCUGUCCGUCCGUCCGUCCUUCUGUCAAUCCAUCCAUCCAUCCAUCCAUCUAUCUAUCUAUCUAUCUAUCUAUCUAUCUGUCUGUCUGUCCGUCCGUCCGUCCGUCCGUCCGUCCAUCUGUCUGUCCGUCUGUCCAUCAGUCUAUCAUCUAUCUAUCUUUCUGUCUGUCUGUCUGUCCAUCCGUCCUUCCGUCAAUCCAUCCAUCCAUCCAUCCAUCCAUCCAUCCAUCCAUCUAUCUAUCUGUCUGUCUGUCUGUCUGUCUGUCUGUCCAUCCAUCUAUCAUCUAUCUGUCUGUCUGUCUGUCUAUCUAUCUAUCUGUCUGUCUUUCUGUCUUUCUACCUAUCUAUCUAUCUAUCUAUCUAUCUAUCUGUCUGUUUGUCUGUCUGUCUGUCUGUCUACAAAACAGAACCUGAAACAUGUUGUUUCCCCCUUUUCAACAAUAGUCCUGAAAGGAUGUGCUUAGCCAACAGAACAUUUUGUUUGUUGUUCUUAGAGGUUGAACUUCUGCAAAUAUUAUAUGAGCUGUGGUGUUUUCAAUUUAUUUGACAUCAGGUUUGCCAUUUUUGCAACCCUUUUACUAAAAUUUGGGACAAGUCUGAAUACAAUUGACAACCCCAAUUCUGAAAAAAUUCAAAACAAAUAGGAGUGAUUUGUAAAUGACAUUCACCCUGUGCUGUAUUGAAAGCACAACAACACAUUAUUUGAUGUUUUACUUUGAUAAUUUCUUCUGUUUUUUUUUGUUUUUUUGUUGUUGUUGUUUUUUAAAUAUACACUAUUUUCAAAUCAGAUGAUUGCGACACGCUUCAAAAAAGUUUGUACAGUCGAGUGUUUACCACUGUGUAACAUCACCAUUUCUUCUAACACUUAUUAAGUGUUUAGGCACUGAAGACACAAGUUUGUUAAAUUUAGCAAGCAGAAUUUUCCCUCAUUCAUCCAUUAUGCAGGUGUUCAGCUGCACAAUUGUGGUCUUUGUUGCCGUAUUGUGCGCUUCAUAAUGCCCACACAUUCUCAAUUGGAGACAGGUCAGGACUGCAAGCAGGUCAGUCUAGCACCCGGUCUCUCUGCUUACACAGUCAUGCACUUGUAAUCCGGGCAGUAUGUGGUUUGACGUUGAUCUACUGGAAAAUGCAGGUAUUUUAAAUGUAACUACAAUGCAACAACAUGUAUGUACAUUAUAAGUACAUUGUAUCAAAUGGUUAAGUACAUAGUAGUUAAGGCCACCUAAUAUAAAGCGGGUCUGAAAGAGUCAACCUAGAACCAACAUUCCUGGAGAAGAUGGCAUCUUCUCCAGGAAUGUUGGCAUAUGUUGCUCCAAAAUGUGUUCAAAUCUUUCUGCAUUAAUAGUGCUCUCAAAGAUGUACAGGUUACUCGUGUCAUGUGCACAGACACACCCUCAUACCAUGACAGGCACUGGCUUUUGCACCUGACACUGAUAAGAGCUUGGAUGGUAAUUUUCCAAGCUCUUUGGCCCGGAGAACACGAAGGCUGUGUUUUCCAAAGACUGUUUAAAAUGUGAACUUGUCUGACCACAAAACACAAUUCCACUGUUCUUCUUUCCAUCUCGGAUGAGAAUGAGCCCAGAGAAGUCAGCAGCGCUUCUGGACAGUGUUGAUGUAUGGCUUCUGCUUUUCAUAGUAAAGCCUUAACUUGCAUCUGUGGAUGCAGCAGCGAACGGUAUUUAUUGAUAAAAGUUUACCGAAGUUUUCCCAAGCCCAUGUCAUGAUAUCCAUUACUGACAAAUGACGGUUUUUAAGACAGUGACGUCUGAGGGAUCGUCGAUAACACACGUUCAGAAGAGGUUUUUUUUUUUUUUUUUUUUUUCAAGCAGGACAACAUCAAACCACAUACUGCCUGGAUUACAAGACCAGAUGUUUGUUUGUAGUCAUUGAUAAACUCUCAUCUAAUGGAUUCAACAAAAUAUUUAUUUAUUUAUUUUUUUUUUUUUGCAGUAACUUUGGUAACAGAAUGAACUUGUAAUAAUUUCAGUAUACACCAGUCACUCAUUUAACAUUUCAUAUGUGUUCAGAUCAUUUACUCAGUUUUUAUUUUCUUAUAUCACAUUUUAUUGUAAGUGUUUUUCCCCUGUACGCUGGUGAACAGUCACGUGCUCAUUAGGGCUCUGCCCCUUACCGGAAGCACAAAGUGCAUCAGACCGGAAGUCCCGUGCAAGGAGCGGCCCUGAGUUCAAGCACUGACACGCUUCCUGCUCAAGGCUACCCCUCCCAUUAUCUUUAGACACUGUCCAGAGC